ensembl:snoRNA Snord104 small nucleolar RNA, C/D box 104
GCGGUGAUGACAUCCCAUGAAAGCACGCGUUAGACUGCUGAUUCUGGUGAUGCGAGUUGGAGUCUGAGC